GCCCCAGUGGCUCAGUGGUAGAGCACGUCCUUGGUAAGGACGAGGCCCCGAGUUCAAUCCUCGGCUGGGGCU
rnacentral:tRNA from 1 species